AUUGAACGCUGGCGGCAGGCUUAACACAUGCAAGUCGAGCGGAGUGAUGGUGCUUGCACUAUCACUUAGCGGCGGACGGGUGAGUAAUGCUUAGGAAUCUACCUAUUAGUGGGGGACAACAUUUCGAAAGGAAUGCUAAUACCGCAUCCGUCCUACGGGAGAAAGCAGGGGAUCUUCGGACCUUGCGCUAAUAGAUGAGCCUAAGUCGGAUUAGCUAGUUGGUGGGGUAAAGGCCUACCAAGGCGACGAUCUGUAGCGGGUCUGAGAGGAUGAUCCGCCUCACUGGGACUGAGACACGGCCCAGACUCCUACGGGAGGCAGCAGUGGCGAAUAUUGGACAAUGGGCGCAAGCCUGAUCCAGCCAUGCCGCGUGUGUGAAGAAGGCCUUAUGGUUGUAAAGCACUUUAAGCGAGGAGGAGGCUACUGAAGUUAAUACCUUCAGAUAGUGGACGUUACUCGCAGAAUAAGCACCGGCUAACUCUGUGCCAGCAGCCGCGGUAAUACAGAGGGUGCAAGCGUUAAUCGGAUUUACUGGGCGUAAAGCGCGCGUAGGCGGCUAAUUAAGUCAAAUGUGAAAUCCCCGAGCUUAACUUGGGAAUUGCAUUCGAUACUGGUUAGCUAGAGUGUGGGAGAGGAUGGUAGAAUUCCAGGUGUAGCGGGGAAAUGCGUAGAGAUCUGGAGGAAUACCGAUGGCGAAGGCAGCCAUCUGGCCUAACACUGACGCUGAGGUGCGAAAGCAUGGGGAGCAAACAGGAUUAGAUACCCUGGUAGUCCAUGCCGUAGACGAUGUCUACUAGCCGUUGGGGCCUUUGAGGCUUUAGUGGCGCAGCUAACGCGAUAAGUAGACCGCCUGGGGAGUACGGUCGCAAGACUAAAACUCAAAUGAAUUGACGGGGGCCCGCACAAGCGGUGGAGCAUGUGGUUUAAUUCGAUGCAACGCGAAGAACCUUACCUGGCCUUGACAUAGUAAGAACUUUCCAGAGAUGGAUUGGUGCCUUCGGGAACUUACAUACAGGUGCUGCAUGGCUGUCGUCAGCUCGUGUCGUGAGAUGUUGGGUUAAGUCCCGCAACGAGCGCAACCCUUUUCCUUAUUUGCCAGC
rnacentral:rRNA from 1 species